CCUACGGGAGGCAGCAGUGAGGAAUAUUGGUCUAUGCGCGCUAUCCUGAACCAGCCAAGUAGCGUGAAGGAUGACUGCCCUAUGGAUUGUAAACUUCUUUUAUAUGGGAAUAAAGUGCAGUAUGUAUACUGCUUUGCAUGUACCUUAUGAAUAAGGCUCGGCUAACUCCGUGCCAGCAGCCGCGGUAAUACAGAGGAUCCGAGCUUUAUCCGGAUUUUUUGGGUUUAAAGGGAGCGUAGGCGGGUGGUUAAGUCAGUUGUGAAAGUUUGCGGCUAAACUGUAAAAUUGCAGUUGAUAGUGGCAUCCUUGAGGACAGUAGUGGUAGGCGGAAUUCGUGGUGUAGCGGUGAAAUGCUGAGAGAUCACGAAGAACUCCGAGUG
rnacentral:rRNA from 1 species